GGUUAGUCAUUGAUAGAACUGCUUUAAAAACAAUUCAGUGGUCAUAUUUUUGAGUGAUUUUUCAGAAAAUGUAGAAUUCAUUUUGUAGUAAAGUAGUUUAUUUUUUUUAAUUUCGAGUGUUGUAAUUUAAAACCUAAGUUGUGUUUUUAAACAGCAACAAAACUGUAUUGUAUUUUUGCUGUAAUUAACUGUAUAAUGUAAACCUAAUUAUUUUAUCAUGGUUUAAAUUUUGCAUAUUUGCUUUAUCUUAUGCUGCUGAUUUUUUUACUGAAUUUGUAAGAUUUUUGUUUAUCAAAGCAACUAUUAUGUGGUGACUUGCAUAUAUCAUGAAUUAUUUAAGAUGUUUAUAAGUUUUUUUAUUAGAAUUUAUUUCAGAUGUUUGUUCAUGAUGCUAUCCUUCAGGGUUAUGUGCUUAUCAAUGAAAUAACCCCAGAGGAGUAAGGGAAAAUAACCUGUAGCCAGUUAUAUUCAGGAAUAACUACUGUAAAUGAUGAACGUGUCAAGAAACCUCCAAUAUUUGCUACUUGCCAAUCCCAUCUUAGUUAAAACAAUUGGUAGGCAACCUUACCUAAAUUUUAGCGGACACCCUGUUAUCUAAAUGACAGAGUAACAGAGCAUGUCUUUAAAGAUGCUGGGGACCUCCUUCUACAUUUGAGUCUCCCUACACCAACCUAACAAAACUUAAAUUAAGAAAUGUGGCAUAUUCUGAACACUUGUGGCAUGCUUGAAGCUUUUGAUCACACAAAGUCAAGAGGAUCCUUCAUGAAUCUACAUUUCAGUGGAGCUCAGCAGACGCUUCCCCUGUCCUAGCGCUGAGCCUGCUUCUGUAUACACUGAGGUAUCUCCUCAGCCUGUAGGUCCUGGCAUUGGUCCAAGAGCCUGAACUUUCCCAUUUGUUCAGUUCCUGGGCGCUGGACCUUUCCCAAAUCCUGCUCACUUAGCAGUCAGUCUGUUGAGCACCAGUUGGUGGUGUUCCUGGCCAUUUGAUUCUACCUGUAGCAUAGUCCUGUUUCUACUAGCUGUCAGGAGGUCCCAAAGCCUACUUAAACUUGUGUAGGUGACAUUUAAAUGAGCAAUAUACCGUUCAUCUGAAAAUAGUAGCACACAGCCAUAUGUAGGAUGUCAUUUUCUAAGGACUGUUUCUUCACAGUGAGCAGAGCAGGCAUAGUGGUGGCUCUUUAGUCUGAGUCUUUGGUUUGUUUUAUGUCUGAUUUCCAGUGUGGACGUUGAGUAGUGUAAGAAUGGUGCUGCUCCUGACAAGUGUGUGUUCACUGUUUACAUUUUAUAUCUGCAGAAUCCUUCUCUGUAACUGAAUCUUUCCUAAGUAAAAUGUCAUCAAGGCCUCAUUAUUUCUGAAAUGAUGUCUGCAAUACCCAGGCACCUUUGGUAUUAUCUGGAGUAAGAGGGGCUUCAUGGAAUGAACUGGGAAAUGCAUGCUGUAUGAGCUGCAGGGUUGUAGGAAGAAGCCCCUUGGAGCUUCCAGCCAGCAGCAAGAGCAGGCACAGCCUAGACUAACGAAAGGUUGCUUAGCAGGUUUUCAUUUGUUUGUUUUGGUUCUAUUUUGUUUGGGGAGGAUUUUUUUUUUUAAUAUUUAGUGUAGAAUUACUUUUAAAUAGAGUAUUUUAAGUCAUUGUUUAUGUGCAAUACUUAAGACUAAGAUACAUUAAUUACCUUUUUAUAUACUUUGAAAUAUAGCAAGUUAGUUUAUUAUGAUUUCUAGCCUCUCACCUUUUAGUGAUUCCUUUUCUAUAUGUACAACAUGGUGCAUUAAUUUUGUUAGACAAGUGUGAAUUUGAGACUGUCGUGCCUCUUGGGUUAUAGAAAUAGAUGGUUGGAGUCAGGAUUUUAGCCGAGAUCGGAGCAUGAGCGUGUUCUUAUUUUAUACUAGUUUUACAACUAACUGGUUUUAUUUUCCCUAUGAUAAAAUGUGUCACUAUUGCACUUAACAGCUGACAUGCUUUAGUUAGUUUUCGGUGUUUUGUACUUGAUCGCUGAGAAGCCGUCUUUCUUGGUUCAGAUUUCGGUUAAGUAAGGAAUACCAGUUGUUCUGAUUGUAUCAUUUAUUGUAAUUGCCAGCUCCCACUUGCCAGCCUUCGUGUUUCAGUUGAAUUAAAAGAAAACAAGCUUUCAGUGCUUAAUGUAAGCUGAAAUACUUAACAAAAUUAUACCCUAAAAGCAAGGUCUGUUUGUUAAACACGUGGUCCAGCUUUUUAAGAUCCACUGUACACGCGCGCGCGCACACACACACACACACACACACACACACACACACACACACACACCUUUGUUUAUAUCUGUUAACAUAAACCCUGCUGGUACUUUUUAAGAGUCUUAAAGCAUCUUAAGUAUUUUUUUAAGGAAUUACAAAUAACAUUUCUGUCUCUCAGUACUUGUUAAACCACCCUAUCAUUUGACUUUUCAAUGACAUGUAUUUAAGAUGCCGAUUGUCUUACUGUCUGAAAGUUGUUUAACUUAGAAUUAGCAUUCCACUUCAUGGUUUAGGAAAGAGAGCCUUAUUCUUUCUACAUGUCUUCCUGGUUCCAGUUCUCGUACCCGCUAAUAUGUAGUGGUCAUCCAUAAGAUGGCCAUGUUGUUGGG
rnacentral:lncRNA from 1 species